rnacentral:lncRNA from 1 species
CCCCCCACAUCGGUGUACUAAGCUUGCGCACUUGGUUUGUUUCCAGAUGUCUUGUCCUGUGCUGAUGCUUGUUUACCGUAAUAUUUUUGUAGCUGGCUAUGAUUGCAAAGGUUAUAAAACAAUGCUAACUAUUUACAAUUCGUUUUGUAUAUGUGUUUAGAAUAUCUAACUGAAUUAGUGUUUAAUAGUUUUAGUACAAAUGUAAAAGUUUUAUUUUCGUAUUUCAUAAAAAUAUAAUAAAAGAACUAAGAAAGUCAUACCCAGAAAAUAUGUAUUAAUUCUAUUAACAAUUUAAAAAUAUAUUAUUUAUUUAAGACUACUAUCUUACAAGACUUAAAGCAGUAGUUUUUCCAGGUUAAAUAUUCAGAAACAGCAUCAAACUGUGUGAUAAAUAUAGCAAUAAGCACCAUAAACCCCAAAGUAUCUCUAGAAGAAUUUUAAAAAUGUGUUGUUAUAGGGUCUGUAAAGUAAAUUGUUCGAGACAAAAUUUAAUUGUGCUUUUUAUGUACUUGCCUUUUUGCAUUUAAGUAAUAGUUAAAUGAUAAAUUGAAUUACAAACGUAGUAUUAAUCUUAUAUCAGCUUUUAUUUGUUGUUUUUUAUAUUCAAGCAAUUAAAUAAUGCUUGAAUUUAACUACAGUUUAUCAAUUAAUUUGGUAUGAAUUAUUUUGUCGAGCAUGCUGGACCUUCCUGCCUCUAUGAUUUCUUGCAAUAAAAAGACCAACACAACAUUACAAUAUUGCACUUUUGCACAUGAAAUAUACAUCAUACACUCCUCCUCAAUAUACCUGGAAUUUGUGUAACUCUUUGUUCUUCCUGUUUUACAAAUUAAUAAUAAAGUAUUUAAUUACUGGGGUUUUUCAGUAAAAUUGAACUUUUAUAUAUGUUUUAAUAUCUUACAGUCCAAUAGUCAAUAAUCCUGACUCCCGAUUAUUAUGGAGAUAAAUUGAAGAAAACUAUUAUAAUUACGUACAUGAAAUUUAUAUAUGAAUCAAUUAUGGUGUUAUAUUUGCAUUAAUAUUGCUCUUUAAAAUUAGAGUUAAGUUAAUUAAAAUCUACAAUUAUUCUUAGAUCUAUUUGGAGUGGGGUUGUGUUUGGAUGUUCAUUGUUUGUAAGUAAAUAUGUAUAUAUGUUUGUAUUAUCAUUCAAUAUGAUUUUUACAGAUUCGAAUUAGAAAUACAGAUUUACAAAACCAUUUAUAUAUAUAUAUUAUUCUUGACACUAUUUUCAUCCUAAUAGCUAAUGUUAACAAUUGUGAAAAAUCAAACGUUUACUGCAAAGAUUUUGUACUACAAGGCUUUGUUGAUGCGUGUUUAUAAUUUGUUUGUGUUUAUUGAAUAACAUGAAAUAUUGUUUGUUUUUGUUUUACUAACAGUAUUUAUGUGUUUAAUUAUUUAAAAUACAUUAUUUGGUUGUAUUACUUUUAACCCUUCAAGGCGGGAGUAUUUAAAUGCAAGCCGGACCCUACUGCGGGACUAUUUUCCAGAUCGCACCAUAUUUUCGCAAGCUUUUACAAAAACCUUUAUUUCUCGGGCUGUAGACACUUUAUCAACACAAUUGUUUUACCAAAUUGUUAAGAAAUGCAAUAAUUAAAUGCAAUAACACUCCCGAAAAUAACCUCACUCUAACCAAACAAAGAUAUAUAUACCCAACACGUUGCUGCACAUUUCACAAUAACCUACAUUAUAAAUGUAAGUUAUACACACUCCUACGUGAUUCUAAAGUUACAACACUGAUUGGGAUAACUAUAAAAUGUAGCUUGCCAUUAUAUUAUUCAACAAAAUAGUAUUAAAAACACAAGACAACAAUCACAGAACGCAUUGCAUAGCAACAAGUUGCACCGGCGCGAACGAACUGAGUACGCAUAAUGUCAAGGUCAGAUGCUCAGUUUUGUAAACAAUACAGCUGUCUCUGUCGCACUCAUUUUCGACUCCAAACAGCUGCAAAAGAUCGACCAACUCAUAGACAACGUAUUCCAUAUAGCCCGAGUCCGAUAUAGUUCACCAAAAUAACGACAGGUUUCACCACAUGACGGAAUGUCGUGUCAUGACGUUAAAUACACGUCAAACCGCAGCUGACUACACUUUUGGGAUGACGUUUUAUACACGUCAAACCAGCUUGAAGGGUUAAAUAGCACUAAAGCAAAGUAAAAGAAAUUAUUUUUAAAGACAGCUUUCAAAAUUUUUAAAGAAUUGGUAUAUUUUUUAUUAAAGACUCUACAUGUUAUACUUAAAAUCAAGUCACUGUCUGUCCAUCCGUCUGUGUGUUUGUCCCUAUGUCCAAUAGCUCUAAAUUGAUUUUGAUGUCAGAAGUUCAAAAUAAAGGUUGGAAUAAAAUUGUAACAGUUUUAUUUUUGUCUUAUAAGUAACAAUGGUAACAACAAGCAAAUAGCUGAAAAGCAAAUGUGUUCACAAACUGAGUACAAUCACAUGACAUUUUAUCAUGUGACAUAGUUAUACAUGUGAAUUGGAAGUUAUUUUGUUUGAAAAUGUUGGUUAGACUUAUUUUAGUUUUGCUGAGUUCUAUGAUACUCCAUUUUAUCAGUUUAUGCAAAGAGAAGAUUCUUUCUAUUCCUUUGUAAUGUAUGAAAAACAAGAAUAAUUAUUAAAACUCUGUAUUGGUCGCAUAGAACAAUGAUCAUAGUAUUUUCCAUUCAGUUAUUUAAAGUAUAUUAUUGUAAAGGCUGUAUCUAUGUACAGUAUUUUGUUGCAUCCUAAAUCCAAGGGUGGAAUCAUUAGUUUGUGUAUAACAGUUUGGGCUGUUAGGAGCGUGGCAGAAUUACAUGAGGUUAUUCUUUUUUACUCACCAAAAGAUGUAAAUCAUCAAACAUUGUACUCUCUGUAAUCUAAAUUAUUGUGUAGAAAUAGCCUUUAUAUAAUGUCCUUAAUGCAGAAAUUGACCAAUAUUUUUUAUAAUGUCUCUUUACAAAGUUUUAGGUAUAUGAAAACAAUAUGAAGAAACAUUUAAAAGCUGUAGUUCAGACUGUUUAUUAAGUUAUUUUUUAGUGCAGAAAACGGCAAACUGCGGGAAAACGUUUAACAGUCACAAACUUUUUUUACCCAAGCUUAAGUUUAGUUUUGUAGUGUUAGUUUGUACUUUGCCUUAAGUGCAUUUUGAUGUGCAAAUAAAAUUCAAAGCCCCCAUACACGAUCUGACCAAUCCACAGACACAAUUUUAAUGUCGUUUUUAUCAUUUUUUGUGUUAUCCGACCUUUUCGCUUAUCCAAUCUUGCCGCGGCUGGUUUAGGAUGGAUAAUUGGGACUCUGCUGUAUUACUUAAUUAUCACUGGUUUUUAUAUGGGCCUUCUACUAAUUCAAGUUUCCAAUCUACCUGUUUCUUUUAGUUGUUUAUUUGUUUUCAAUAUCAUUUUUGAUCAUUUUUUUAAUCCGGGAUUAUUAUUGUUUGACAUCUUCACACUAUCUCAUUAUAUAUUCUUGGUUUAUUUAAGUUUUUGUACAAAAGUGUUUUUUUAAACAUAUAAUGAUUUUAGGAUUUAAAAUAUUUUAGGGCUUAUACCUCAUGUUAUAGGCGGAGAUUUAUAUUCACUGUCGGCAGCUAACCCAUGUGCCCUCUUAAUAAUACAUUGCUGAUGAAAUAAAUAGAGAUUACAAAUUGAAAACAAAUAGUUCAAAAAUAGUUAUAAAAAUUUUUGCAUUAAUAACAUAUGUGUACUUAUUAUUACUUAAAAAAAACUUCCACUGGCAGGCAAAGUAGUGAGUGCUAGCUUGUGAACUGGCUAAGACACUGAAAGGGUUAAUACAGUUUUGGCUACCCUGGGAGAAUAAUUUUCCAACUGUAUCUUACUGCUGUUUGUGAGGGUUAAUAGAUUGAUCGUUUGAUUGUUGGGAGUUUUAAACUAUAAUCUGUUUUAUUAAUGUUUAAAUGUAUGGUUUCUGGAGCUUCACUUCUUGUUUACUGUGUAAGUUGGUCCUUGUCAAAUUCAAAAUGAUUAAUUUAUAUUUAGUAAAGGGUUAUUCUUUUCAAGGCCAUUCAGUGAUUAAAUGUUAACUCUCUUCUUACAAAAUAUUAUGUUUCAUUUCCAUAAAUAAAAAAGUUAUAGCUCAAAUAUAAAUUUCAAUCAGUUUAGAAUUGUG